GAGCAUUGCUCUCUUACGAUGCAGUCUGACGGAGUCAUCAUUUUUGAAGCAAUUAGCUUGCUAAGGGUGGAAAUGUUGGUGACUUAGUGGCGGACGGGUGAGUAACGCGUGGGUAACCUGCCAUAUACAGGGGGAUAACACUUAGAAAUAGGUGCUAAUACCGCAUAAGCGCACAGGACCGCAUGGUCUGGAGUGAAAAACAUUAGUGGUAUAUGAUGGACCCGCGUCUGAUUAGCUGGUUGGUGAGGUAACGGCCCACCAAGGCGACGAUCAGUAGCCGGCCUGAGAGGGUGGACGGCCACAUUGGGACUGAGACACGGCCCAAACUCCUACGGGAGGCAGCAGUGGGGGAUAUUGGACAAUGGGGGGAACCCUGAUCCAGCGACGCCGCGUGAGUGAAGAAGUAUCUCGGUAUGUAAAGCUCUAUCAGCAGGGAAGAAAGAAAUGACGGUACCUGAGUAAGAAGCCCCGGCUAACUACGUGCCAGCAGCCGCGGUAAUACGUAGGGGGCAAGCGUUAUCCGGAAUUACUGGGUGUAAAGGGAGCGUAGACGGUGAAGUAAGUCUGGAGUGAAAGGCGGGGGCCCAACCCCCGGACUGCUCUGGAAACUAUUUGACUGGAGUGCAGGAGAGGUAAGCGGAAUUCCUAGUGUAGCGGUGAAAUGCGUAGAUAUUAGGAGGAACACCAGUGGCGAAGGCGGCUUACUGGACUGUAACUGACGUUGAGGCUCGAAAGCGUGGGGAGCAAACAGGAUUAGAUACCCUGGUAGUCCACGCCGUAAACGAUGAUCACUAGGUGUCGGUGGGUAUGGACCCAUCGGUGCCGCAGCCAACGCAGUAAGUGAUCCACCUGGGGAGUACGUUCGCAAGAAUGAAACUCAAAAGGAAUUGACGGGGACCCGCACAAGCGGUGGAGCAUGUGGUUUAAUCCGAAGCAACGCGAAGACCUUACCAGUCUUGACAUCCUCCUGAUACAGGUAAUGCCUGUAGCCUUCGGACAG
rnacentral:rRNA from 1 species